rnacentral:rRNA from 1 species
UACAGGGGGUGCAAACGUUGCUCGGAAUUACUGGGCGUAAAGGGCGCGUAGGCGGCCUGCUAAGUCGAACGUGAAAUCCCCGAGCUCAACUCGGGAACUGCGUCCGAUACUGGCAGGCUUGAAUCCGGGAGAGGGAUGCGGAAUUCCAGGUGUAGCGGUGAAAUGCGUAGAUAUCUGGAGGAACACCGGUGGCGAAGGCGGCAUCCUGGACCGGCAUUGACGCUGAACAGCGAAAGCUAGGGGAGCAAACGGG